rnacentral:sRNA from 1 species
GCUGGGCAUGGUGGUGCACACCAGUCAUCCCAGCAACUCAGGAGGCUGAGACAGGAGGAUCGCAAGUUCAAGACCAGCCUCAGCAACUCAGUGAGAUCCUGUCUCAA